GACGAACGCUGGCAGCGUGCUUAACACAUGCAAGUCGAACGGAAAGGCCCUGCUUUUGUGGGGUGCUCGAGUGGCGAACGGGUGAGUAACACGUGAGUAACCUGCCCUUGACUUUGGGAUAACUUCAGGAAACUGGGGCUAAUACCGGAUAGGAGCUCCUGCUGCAUGGUGGGGGUUGGAAAGUUUCGGCGGUUGGGGAUGGACUCGCGGCUUAUCAGCUUGUUGGUGGGGUAGUGGCUUACCAAGGCUUUGACGGGUAGCCGGCCUGAGAGGGUGACCGGCCACAUUGGGACUGAGAUACGGCCCAGACUCCUACGGGAGGCAGCAGUGGGGAAUAUUGCACAAUGGGCGGAAGCCUGAUGCAGCAACGCCGCGUGCGGGAUGACGGCCUUCGGGUUGUAAACCGCUUUCGCCUGUGACGAAGCGUGAGUGACGGUAAUGGGUAAAGAGGCACCGGCUAACUACGUG
rnacentral:rRNA from 1 species